rnacentral:rRNA from 1 species
UACGGAGGGGGCUAGCGUUGUUCGGAAUUACUGGGCGUAAAGCGCGCGUAGGCGGCUUUGUAAGUUAGAGGUGAAAGCCCGGAGCUCAACUCCGGAACUGCCUUUAAGACUGCAUCGCUAGAAUCAUGGAGAGGUGAGUGGAAUUCCGAGUGUAGAGGUGAAAUUCGUAGAUAUUCGGAAGAACACCAGUGGCGAAGGCGGCCUCCUGGGGCACUCUUGACGCUGAGGCGCGAAAGCUGGGGGAGCGAACGGG